GAAGCAACUCUGCAGUUGAGAAGGAAGGACGGAGAGUGAGACCUUAGAAAUUUACACCGAUUUUGAUGAAAAUGUCUUCUCGUCAGUGUGGUCCCGAUUGCCGUUGUAGAUUCGUGCAACAAUGGCUAGACAUGCACGAAGAGUAUCUAUUAGCACCACGAAGCGUGCAGCCUUCCAGUAUCUGCAACAAUAAUACGAACAUGACUCGAUUCGCAAGCCCACCCAUCAACUUAAAAAACAAACAAAUUUAUGUAAAAAAUGUAAUAAUUGUACCUUUUGUACAACCUCCGUUCAGAAUUUCACCUCUGGACCCUCGUGCAAAGUUGCAUUGAAAUAGUUUUUUUUUGUUUUUGUUUUUGUAAAUAUUUAUUGUAUUCGUUUUACUGUAAAAAUUAUGCACAACUGUAUUUCUAAAUAAAUUUUGUAAAUAUUA